GAUGAACGCUGGCGGCGUGCUUAACACAUGCAAGUCGAACGGAAAGGCUCCUGCUUGCAGGGGUACUCGAGUGGCGAACGGGUGAGUAACACGUGGGUGAUCUGCCCUGCACUUCGGGAUAAGCUUGGGAAACUGGGUCUAAUACCGGAUAGGACGAUGGGUUGGAUGCCAUUGUGGAAAGUUUUUCGGUGUGGGAUGAGCUCGCGGCCUAUCAGCUUGUUGGUGGGGUAAUGGCCUACCAAGGCGUCGACGGGUAGCCGGCCUGAGAGGGUGUACGGCCACAUUGGGACUGAGAUACGGCCCAGACUCCUACGGGAGGCAGCAGUGGGGAAUAUUGCACAAUGGGCGCAAGCCUGAUGCAGCGACGCCGCGUGGGGGAUGACGGCCUUCGGGUUGUAAACUGCUUUCGCUAGGGACGAAGCGCAAGUGACGGUACCUGGAGAAGAAGCACCGGCUAACUACGUG
rnacentral:rRNA from 1 species